CCAAAAUGAAGAGAAGAAUGAGUGAGGAAAGAAAGAAAGGAAGAGAAGGAAGAAAGAGGGUGAGUAAGUAGAGAGAAAAAUAGAGUGGAGAGAAAUUUCUCCAAGAGAGAAAAAUUAGUGAGCCACAUAUAUUGUAAACACUAAAGUUGUAGCCCUAUUAUUUUACAUAGUGGAAAAGUUACUACUGCUGCUCUCCGGGGACGUAGGCAUAGCCGAACCUCGUUAAAUACUGUGUCCCAUUUACUUUACGUGCAGCUCAAUAUUCAUACAUAUUCCAGGUUAUUUUAUAACACGUUAUCAGCACGAGAAGCUCUCAGGUAUAAUUUUUGUGCUGCACUAUUAUCUAUACUACUAACCAUUAACAAAAAUGGACCCUUGGUAAUACUAAACAUAUUAUCAGUGGGAGACCGUUACUAAUACUAACAUUUUUCUCAUUUUAUUCGGUGGUGGUUUUAACCCCAUAUUUAUUUUAUUUACUGUAUGGUGUAUGUUUAUUACCCAUACAUGCACCUUUACUUUAUCGCAAAUUUACUUUACCGCACAUUUAUUUUAUUUACUGUAUGGUGUAGGUUUAUUACCCAUACAACAGUAUUUAUUUAAAAGGGUGGUGCGGGUUUAUCGUCCACGCCUUUGCUUUUAUUUAAAUGUAUGGAGCAGAAUUAGUGCCCAUACAAGCACGUUUACUUUAUCGCAAAUUUACUUUUACUUAAAGCAUUAUUUAUGGUAUGGUGUAGGUUUAUUACCCAUACGGCAAUAUUUAUUUAAAGGGUGGUGCGGGUUUAUCGUCCACGCCUUUGCUUUUAUUUAAAUGUAUGGAGCAGAAGUAGUGCCCAUACAAGCACGUUUACUUUACCGCACAUUUAAUUUUAUUUAAGGUAUGGUGCGGGAUUAACGUCCAUACAGCAAGCUAUUUAAUUUAUGAAUUUAUUUUACUGCACAUUUACAUUUAUUUAAAGUAUGGUGCGGGUUUAUCGUCCAUACCAGUAAUUUAUUUAUCAGCAAUUUAUUUUAUGGAUUGAUUGUGCUGUAUGAUGAGUUUUUUCCAGUAUGCAAAUCAGGACCAGAAGUUCCUUGAUCCUCAUCAUACAAUUACAUCAGGACUUGAAGAUCCUUGAUGAUGAUAUGAGAGCUGGCAGUCUCUCCGGUACUGUAUUUGUAAACAUGUGAUCGGACUUAAAGGUCCUUGAUCCCUGACAUGUAAAUAAGAACCUAGAGUUUCUUAAUGAUGUAACAGUACCGUAUUGGUUCAUGGUGCCGUACACAUUGAUGAUAACUGUACUGGCAGAUGGAUAGAUACGUAUUCAUGACUUGAUGAAUAGUACUAUUCACAUGAAUAGUGACGUAUGCAUAAAUAUGAACCAUUUUGGGUAAACCGUCACUAUAUACAAAAGAGAACCUGCGGUUCCUUAAACUCAUGGAUGAGCAAUUAAAUGAGAUGCCAGAAGUUCCUCAAAAUAUGGACAAUUAUGUAAGGGCUUGAAGUCCCGAAAUAUGUACAGAAAAUUGUAAAAAUGUCCAUACCAUGAGAAUAUGUGGCUUUGGACUGAAGUUCAAAAUUUAACAGUGUUGAGAACCUGAAGUUCCAACAAUUAAAUGGACAACCCUUGAUGUAUUAUUGCAAAUUGUGGUAUGCCACAUAUUUCUUUGGCAUAAGAAGAUGAUGAAUUUAAUAAAGUUCGAUUUUGUUAUAAUCGACACCUCAAGGAAGAAAUAUAUUUUGUGAAUUCCGGUUGUUAAGAAUACACCGCGAAAUGGAUAAUAUUAACCUCAAAUAAUGAAUUGAGGCUCCCCACAUAUUUUGUUAUAUCUGGGCCGGAAGCCCAUGGAUCCAAAUAUAUGAGAGAUCCUAAACUUGAAGUUGUGGGUAUAUAGUAGUUAAUGCUCUUCACUACUAUAUUGCGAUAUUAUCAUGGCUUUUACUCAAUUCACAUUUCAUGUCCAUUUGAAAAAGGCAAAUAAAUUCUGAGUUUGUGCCCAGGCCAAAAGUUCCUGGCUACUAUGAAAUUUGGGAGAGACAAUGUGGUUAUUUGAACCUAUAAGGCACAAGGUUCCAAACCGUCAUUUUGAAAAGACGUAAAAACCACAUGUGCAAGUUUAAGAAUGUGCGCAAUUAUUAUAACUGAAAAGGGGCAUACAACAGAUAGAUUUUUUCCUGCAAUGAAGGUGCAGGCCCUGUAAAAUCUAUAAAAUUACAUUAUGUUCUGGAAGCCUCUGAAGGAAGAUGACGGCGCCUCUUAAGCUUAACCAUGAGCUUCUCGUGGUCUCCCAAAAUUCUUUCAUUGGAGACCUGCAGCAUGUCUAGCCUUCUUAGUGUAUCAACUGAGUACGAACUCACCAGUUUCAACAAGGCAUUAUUCUCUCCUUUAAGUUUCUCAACCUCCUGUUGAGACUCAUGAAGCAUUCUUUGAAGAGACGAAUUUUCAGUUGUUAAAUUCUGAACCUCGUUUGCUCUAGCACGCAAACGAUCAGCCAUGUUAGAAACAGAAGCAGCACUCUGAAUGCUAGCAGCCAUUGAGUCAUCAAUAGCCUCUUCCUCAGACCUCCCUGUUAACAGCAUUUCAUCCAUUGGAGUAAUGAAAUUCCUAGCUACUAUGACAGCAGUAGCAUCAUUCAUCAUCACAGAAUCAUUAACUGUGAGAUGACGAUUUUGGGAUACAAAGGAUGGACGCCAAACUUUGGCGUCAUUGGUUGUUGUGGGAGCAUCAUUUAAAUUGAAAUAAUUUGGGCAGGAAGAAGAGGAAGCCAUUUUUAAGAAAGGUUUCGAAGAAAGUCUUAGAAAAACUAAAGGUUCAGAAAAUGAAGGAAGUUGAGUUGAAACGCAGUUGCUCCAAUCAAGUUUUGCAAAGGCCAUAUCUAUAGGAGGAAAUAUGGCUACUGUUUUUCAGGAUUCCAAUAUCUUCUCGAAUCCCCAUAUUAUCUUUUUCUUUCCCAGAGUCCAAAACUUCACGUGGCCUCUAAUAAUGCUUGUCGGCACUUUCAGCGUUUUCAAGCAUUAUUUUCAAAAGCCGAUCUUGCUUUGCGGAUUUCACGGAGCUACUUUUUCAAAAGUAUCCCGAGAAUCUCGCAAUUUUCCUAUGGUCAAUUUGAAAUUCACCGGUUCUACCUAUUCCUUUUAUUUGUGUAUAAAUGUGUUACUAACGAAAUUUUCUUUGCCGAAGACAUACAGUUUUCUCCAUACUUAGUGAUGCGAUAUCUACUUGUUUUUCUCAUCAGUGAGCACUCAAUAUGCUCGAGAAGCAAGACUAUCUCUGAUCAUCCAUUCAGGAAGCGAGACUAUCCCUGAUCACGUUUCCGUCACAUCCGGGAACUGUGAAGGCAACCAUAUGCUCUAAUCUCCGGAAGUUCUUCUAAACUAGAAGAAAUGAGAGCUUGUCGUUUGCUCCCACCAGCUUCCUUCCUUGAUUGCUGAGCAUGUUGUCUGCUCCCACCAGCUUCCUUCCUUGAUUGCUUACCUUACCUUGCAAUCAAUAUCACAAUUUUUGUAUCUUUUCUUUCUUUUUAUAACUCUCUGUUCAUAAGGGAUUUUAUUUAUUUAGAAUGAACAUCUGAAGAAAGAACCCAUGAAGUGAUCCUAACUCUGAGGGUUAUUUGUUUUUGACAGAGAAAAGCGUUGUGAUUUUGCUCUUGUAGGAUAUAACAAGAUCAUCAAGCGGUACUUUAUAUUUACUGGGCCGAUACGAGCUUGAAUGAUACUUGAGAAAAGUUUCUCCCACCUAAGGAUGUAAGCAAUACUUGUGUUAUUUUAUGCUUAUAUACCUAUUUGAUAUUUUAUCUUGAAAGGUAACCAGAUGGGGAGAUAAGUCCGUUCCAAAAGAAUGGCUUGUAUGUAUCCAUGAAUUAUUAACGCAAAUUUUACAGAUUGUAAGUUGGAUACAUUGAUAAUACACUGCACAGAUUAAAGUCUCAUAAGAACAGAAUAUGGGUAUAGCAGUGAUCAAUAUGGGUGCACGCCUGUUGCGUAGCAAAUGAUAUGGAUUGAAGUCCCGAAAGGACAAUCCUUUGACAUGUCAAUAUUGAUAUUAUGCACGCCUAAUGCGUAGCAAAUUAUAUGGAUUAAAGUCCCAUAAUAUGGGUUAAAGUCCCAGAAAUUAAUUGACAUGUAUGUAUUAAUCUGUGGCAUGCCUGCAGCAUGACAGAUAUAUGGGUUCUAAAUGUUCCAACUCCCUAAAUGGAGAUUAUCCACGCUCUACUAUAAAAUAACGCUCCAUUGGAGGUUAUAAUCCACAUUCUCACAUAAUAAAAGCCCCCUUCAGUGGCUUGGGUACCCAAAAGCAAAGAAAUGCUUAUAAUUGAUACAUGCGCAUGCACAUGAGAAUGGUGGGAUCAUGAAUUGAUGAAUGACAAUUUUUGAUUUUGGAGUAGCUACUCAAAUCAUCAAUGGGCUGUGUUAAUUGGAACCACGUUCAAUUAUUAAAUGUCGACAAUAUCAUUGGCCAAAAUGGAACGAGGUAAUUCCAUUAUAAAUGAGAAUGAACGUGAAAGAACAAACCCACAAUACGAACCCCAAAAUUUGUUAAUACUAAAAGUUAUACUUGGGUGUUCGGAAUAAAAGGAAAUAUAUCUACUUUGUAUGACACACUGUUUCUGGCAGAAACAAGGAAUGUUGGGUUUUCUCCAUAUUUACAGAUUCAAUUGUGCCCCCCUUAUUACACAAUUACGGAGACCAACAUAUUAUCUUUAAGGGUUAUUAAUGCACAGAGCAUAUCGCCAGAAGCGAUUUCCUAAAGAUGUAUAAAUAGCUGGGUAAAAACUAUAUAAUGUGUCAUAAAGUUUAAUCCCUUUUAACCAAAAUCCGUUGAAAGGAUUGAUAUUGCAUAGAGCAAGUCCCUAAAGGACAUGUGCUUGAAGCACAAAAUUUGUACUCAAUAUUAAUAUGCAUAAAUUACCUCAGCGAGUACAUUGAUUAUAAUGUGAUUGCAACACAUUAAAGCUUCUGCAGAAUUCAUGAAAUAUUUGUCUCGAUCGAGCAUUAUGCCAACGAGAUUCUUGCUUAUACUAAGAAAGUAUUAAAGUAUUUUUAUGAGGAUUAUCCGUUGGACACUUUAAUGAUUUUCCGGAAGUAUAUUGGACCGGACAUCAUAUUUUCCAAAUAGGGCUCAACUCCAUCACCAUCAUUUUGGGAUGAUGUGAGGUAUAUUUGAUGCUAUCUAAGCAUAACACCAUAUACGGGCAUAUUUUUUUUUAGUGAACUUAUAAAUAGCCCAAGUGUUCUAAGAUAUGCGGCCUCAGGAAAUCUCUAUGGUCGCUUACUGGAAAAAGCUAGUCAUGAAGUUUUCAGGGGGAGAUAUUUAUCAGGGGGAGCAUGGUAUUAAUAAAGACUUUCAUACACUAUUGACUCACAACAGCAGUGUCAACUAUGAUAUUCAGACAGAUGAUUAACAGUAUGGCUUAAAGAUAUUUUGCCAAACAUCAGGGGGAGCGUGCUGUCAAUACAGACCCUUACACACUGUACUCUUUUUCCUUCGUCCAGAUUUUUAUCCCACUGGGUUUUUCCUGGCAAGGUUUUAACGAGGCAGUGUCGCACGCGCUUCAAUAUACACAGAAUUUUAUGUUACAUGUGAUUAUGUACUCUUUUCCCUUCGACCAGUUUUUGUCCCACUGGGUUUUUACUGGCAAGGUUUUUAACGAGGCAUAUUCCAUAUCAUUUGUGGUCUCCAAGGGGGAGUGUUGUAAAAGUUUGAAGGUGGAGCCCACAGAGGGAGUUUCCUUGCAUCUUCCAGGAACUUUCCCUUCCCUGUAUUUAUCAAUUCAGGAAGUUUCCUUGCAUCUUCCAGGAACUUUCCCUUCCCUGUAUUUAUCAAUUCAGGAAGUUUCCUUGCAUCUUCCAGGAACCUUCCCUUCCCUGUAUUUUACCAAAACCUUAGCCUAUAAAUAGGCUUGCUCAUUCACUUGUAAGACACACCAAAAUGAAGAGAAGAAUGAGUGAGGAAAGAAAGAAAGGAAGAGAAGGAAGAAAGAGGGUGAGUAAGUAGAGAGAAAAAUAGAGUGGAGAGAAAUUUCUCCAAGAGAGAAAAAUUAGUGAGCCACAUAUAUUGUAAACACUAAAGUUGUAGCCCUAUUAUUUUACAUAAUGGAAAAGUUACUACUGCUGCUCUCCGGGGACGUAGGCAUAGCCGAACCUCGUUAAAUACUGUGUCCCAUUUACUUUACGUGCAGCUCAAUAUUCAUACAUAUUCCAG
rnacentral:lncRNA from 1 species